rnacentral:rRNA from 1 species
UACGGGGGGGGCAAGCGUUGUUCGGAAUUACUGGGCGUAAAGGGCGCGUAGGCGGCCUGCUAAGUCACACGUGAAAUCCCUCGGCUCAACCGGGGAACUGCGUGUGAUACUGGCGGGCUUGAAUUCGGGAGAGGGAUGUGGAAUUCCAGGUGUAGCGGUGAAAUGCGUAGAUAUCUGGAGGAACACCGGUGGCGAAGGCGGCAUCCUGGACAAUACCUGACGCUGAGGCACGAAAGCUAGGGGAGCAAACAGG